rnacentral:rRNA from 1 species
CCCUUAGAUGUUCUGGGCCGCACGCGCGCUACACUGAUGCGUUCGACAAGUUUCCUUGGCCGAGAGGCCUGGGCAAUCUUCUUAAUAUGUAUCGUGAUAGGGAUAGAUUAUUGCAAUUAUUAAUCUUGAACGAGGAAUUCCUAGUAAACGCAGAUCAUCAAUCUGCAUUGAUUACGUCCCUGCCCUUUGUACACACCGCCCGUCGCACCUACCGAUUGGAUGUUCCGGUGAAGCCUCGGGAUGAGGACUGGUGCCUUUAUUGGCAUGAGUUGUUCAGAACUUGUCUAAACCUUAUCAUCUAGAGGAAGGUGAAGUCGUAACA